GUUAUCCUUAUCUUGGGGUUGUGUGGCUGUUCAAUGAAUGUGUGGUGAGAACAGCACUGCUAACACCAUUACAACACUUGUGUACAGGACAUACCUGGGCAAUUUUCUACAUAGCCGGGUAGAUGCCAGUGUUGUUGCUGUACUGGGACAGCUUGGCUAGAGGUGCAGCAAGUUCUGGAGCA